ACCGGAUUAGAUACCCGGUUAGUCCUGGCCGUAAACGAUGCACACUAGGUGAUGGCACGGCCAUGACCGUGUCAGUCCGUGGGGAAACCGUUAAGUGUCCGCCUGGGAAGUACGGUCGCAAGGCUGAAACUUGAAGGAAUUGCGGGGGAGCACCACAAGGGGUGAAGCCUGCGGUUCAAUUGGACUCAACGCCGGGAAACUUACCAGGGGAGACAGUAGAAUGACGGUCAGGUUGACGACCUUACCUAACACCUGAGAGGAGGUGCAUGGCCGUCGCCAGUUCGUGCUGUGAGGUAUCCUGUUAAGUCAGGCAACGAACGAGCCCCGCGCCUUUAUUUGCCAGCAAGAAGUCACGACUUCGUUGGGAACAAUAAAGGGACCGCCGUCGAUAAGACGGAGGAAGGAGCGGGCGAAGGCAGGUCAGUAUGCCCCGAAACCCCUGGGCUACACGCGGGCUGCAAUGGUAUGAACAAUGGGCUGUGACUCCGAAAGGAGAAACCAAUCCCGAAAUCAUAUCUCAGUUGGGAUUGUCGGCUGUAACUCGCCGACAUGAACGUGGAAUCCCUAGUAAUCGUGUGUCAUCAUCG
rnacentral:rRNA from 1 species